GCCUGGGUGGCUCAGCCGGUUGAGCGCCCGACUUCAGCUCAGGUCGUGAUCUCACAGCUCGUGAGUUGGAACCUCGCGUCGGGCU
rnacentral:tRNA from 1 species